rnacentral:tRNA from 1 species
GCGGGUGUAGUUUAGUGGUAAAACCUCAGCCUUCCAGAGCUGAUGUCGUGGGUUCGAUUCCCAUCACCCGCUCCA